GUUUGCACUUGUCGGGGAAGGGUGAGAACCUUCGAUUAAGGUUCGACUCGAGCGAAAGCGAGAGAACGUUGCCAACGGCAAUGGCCCGUAGGGUGAGGAGCGAAGCGACGAAUAAUCCUUCCCCCACCACCA
rnacentral:sRNA from 3 species